AGAACGAAUGCUGGCGGCAGGCCUAACACAUGCAAGUCGAGCGAUGUAGCAAUACAUAGCGGCGCACGGGUGAGUAACACGUGGGAAUAUGCCCUUUGGUACGGAAUAGCCUCGGGAAACUGGGAUUAAUACCGUAUAUGACGUAAGUUGAAAGAUUUAUCGCCAAAGGAUUAGCCCGCGUCUGAUUAGCUUGUUGGUGAGGUAAUGGCUCACCAAGGCGACGAUCAGUAGCUGGUCUGAGAGGAUGAUCAGCCACACUGGAACUGAGACACGGUCCAGACUCCUACGGGAGGCAGCAGUGGGGAAUAUUGCACAAUGGACGAAAGUCUGAUGCAGCCAUGCCGCGUGAGUGAUGAAGGCCUUCGGGUUGUAAAGCUCUUUUGGCGGGGUACGAUAAUGACGGUACCCGCAGAAUAAGCCCGGCUAACUUCGUGCCAGCAGCCGCGGUAA
rnacentral:rRNA from 1 species